CGAGCGCAACCCUUGUGACUAGUUGCCAGCGCGUAAUGGCGGGAACUCUAGUCAGACUGCCCAGAUCAACUGGGAGUAAGGUGGGGACGACGUCAGGUCAGUAUGGCCCUUACGCCUUGGGCUGCACACGUACUACAAUGCCCAGCACAAUGAGAACCGAUACCGCGAGGUGGAGGAAAUGUAUAAAACUGGGCCCAGUUCGGAUUGGAGGCUGCAACUCGCCUCCAUGAAGUUGGAAUCGCUAGUAAUGGCGCAUCAUCUACGGCGCCGUGAAUACGUUCCCGGGUCUUGUACACACCGCCC
rnacentral:rRNA from 1 species